rnacentral:lncRNA from 1 species
UGGCAUUACUCCUUAAAAAUUUACAUACAGUGUCUACAACAUGUAUUAUAAUAAUUUAUAUUAAAUUUGUCUAUACAAAACAAAAAUAACACUCGACUUCCAGCGAAGGGACUCGGAUAAAUGUACAGCUACUGAAUGCCGAGACACCUACCAAAAGAUGGACACAAGUCUACAAGGACACCUCGUCUUAGUUACCGGCUGCCUCAUGAUCUGAAAACAUGAAUUUGAAAAUGGUGAGUAUAAACCCAGUGAGUGAACAAGGAAGGGAACAAGCAUACCAUAAGGAAUCUUUAAUGAAAUCAUGAUGCAUUCUUUUUCAAAACAAUAUAAUUUGUUUCUAUUCUUAUUAAAAACCCCUAAUCAAGCCCUUAAAUGAUUAAUCAUUUGAAAAUCAUUAACCCAUACAUAACAAACCAUUGGAAGAAUGAAAACUUCAAUAUUAUACAAGUAAGUCAAAUACGACAACGAAUCUUCACUGCAGCUGAAAAGCAUUAGCUGCAGCGAGAAUGAAUUUUCAUUGCAACAACGUUGGGAUUUAGUUAUUAACCGAAUGAGGGUUUCUCAACUGGCCGAGGAUUUCUCACUAAACCUAUUCAUUUUAAACUUAACUCAUUUAAUCCUUAAUGUUGGAAGUUCAUGCUCCGAUAUGGUAGCAAAGUAGUGAAAGAUAGGUCAGCAAUUGGACAAGAUAAGAGACCAAAACAGAAGGUUUUUCGCUGCAGCGAGAUUGAAUCUCACUGCAGCGAAAUUGUAACCCAGAAACAGAAUGUUUCUCGCUGCAGCGAAAUUACAACCCAGAAACAGAAAGUUUCUCGCUGCAGCGAGAAUGUAUUUCGCUGUAGCGAGAAGCUACAGUGUCAUUCUCGCUGCAGCGAAAAUGCAUCCUCGCUGCAGCGAGUUUUCAGCCAGCCUACCCUUUCAAAACCUGAGAGUUUCUAGCUAUAGCGAGAAUGAAUGAUUCUCGCUGCAGCGAAAUACAGGGCAUCAAAUGAAAAUUUCCCUUUCUCCCAAAGAAAACCACCAUGCUUGAAAUGUUCAAAACCAAUAUGAAACACAUAACAAUUUCUCAAGGUUUAACAUGUCAAGUUUCACAUGCAUUACAACCAUAAACCAUUAUCCAUCAAUUUCCUAUAACACACAUAUUUACAUAUAUAUAUAUAUAUACGCAUAUACCCAUCAUCAUCAUCACACCAUCCCAUCAUCAUCCUCACCAGCUCAUGCGCACUCCCUACUCGCACAUGGCUGGGUCAUCACCGGGUUAUGCGCACUCCCUACUCGCACAUAACCGGGUCAUCCUCGACUUAUGCGCACUCCCUACUCGCACAUAGCCGAGUCAAUAUAAUUACACAACAUUAUAUUCAAGCAUAUAUGUAUAUCAACAUAAUGCAGCCACAUAGAAAUCCAUAAUAACCACAUAUCAUAACAUAAAUAAUUUCUCAAGAACUUGUUCCCAAGGCAUUCAUUUUCAUGAAAAAUCGUAUAAAAUCAUUCAAACAUUUGUCAAAUACAUUAUAUUCUCAAAAAAAGUUUUGAAGGCAGUCCACUCACCAAAUGAUUGUAGAGCCUUUAGAUGACUCAAAUUCCCUUAAUUAUCCAAAUGAAAUGAUGGGGCUUCCUUAGAACCUAGGAUCAUAUUAGCAUAAGUAAUAGGUUAAUUUACACACUAUAAACCUUAAAAGCUAUCUCUUAGCUAGCUUUCAAUUGCCACAUUAAUUGGCUAUCUAUGUUCACUAUGUUAAUCACUAAAAAGUAAUGAACAUAGUCAACAAUAAAAUAGCUCAUAACUCCAAAUUACUAGCCAUUUUCUGCAGUCAAAAACCAAGCUUAAUUCAUCACUUACCCUAGGGCUCCUUUAUAGUCAAAUUUUCUUCCAAUUGCUUCCAAAUCAAUGGUAUAAUUUCCUCUUUCUCUCUCUAGAACGUCUAACUAGUGAGAGAAAGUACAGAAUUGAGAUUUAUCAAGGGUUUUAAAGUGAGAGGAUGAAAUAGCACAAGGGUUCAUGGAAGAGUACACCAAAAAGCAUGAAAAUUAGAGCUAGAGAGAGAAAGUUAUGGAAGCUUGAAGAAAACUCCCAUGGAGGAAUUGAAGAAACCUGAGAGAGGAAAAGGGAAGAAGAAGACCAGCUGCAGGAAAUUCAAGAAGGUGCUGGAAAUUUCAAGAUAUUUAUAGGCCAACUUAUCCAUUCCCAUAAAAUUACCAAAAUGCCCCUCCACCAAUUAACUUAUUCUCCUCCAAUCUUUUAUGCAAUCUUUUUGCUCUUU